GCCAUGCACUCGGCCGCCAACGCCAUCACCUUCUCCGCCGCCGCCACCGCCGCGCUGCUCCUCCGCAUCCGAGGGUCCAUCGCCACCACCGCGUCGCCCUCCCUGCACUUCCGCAGCGCCUGCGCCAACACGAUGCAGGUCUUGUAACAUAAUAACAUCAGCAUGAUGAGUGAAUCAAGAAAAGAAGAUCGACGAGGAGCAAAACAGUUUGCGCAUGACCCUGCAAUCGCACGAGCUCCUUCGCAGAAUGAUCUUGAGCUCCUGACUUGCUUGUUGACCACACGGGAACGAGGUGUGUAGGUGGAAGUCAUAGAAAACCC